UCCGAGUUGACCCCGGCAGUCUCCUGCGAGUCCCCGCCAUUACGCGCUGGCAACACAGGACAAGGGUUGCGCUCGUUGCGGGACUUAACCCAACAUCUCACGACACGAGCUGACGACAGCCAUGCACCACCUGUAUACCGACCACAAGGGGGGCCGUAUCUCUACGGCUUUCCGGUAUAUGUCAAACCCAGGUAAGGUGGGGAUGACGUAGACGUCAUAACC
rnacentral:misc_RNA from 1 species